GAAACGGCCACGUGCCCCAGGCUCCAAGGAGAACGGCUGCUCGGCUGGCUGGCUGGCUUAGCCCGACCCCUGCCCUGGGCCCUUGGGGACCCGCUGCAGUAAGCGCAGGCUGUGGGAGCUGCCUCAGUGGGCCCUCCAAGACAGCUGAGUGGACGCUCCUGAGCCCAGCCAGGGACGGAGCUUCCUUCCCACCGGAACCCACCUGGCGUGGGGUUGUGGAGUCAGCUGCGGCAGGCCGCACUCAGGUUGUGACCGUGCCAGCUUCCCGCCUAGCUGUGGCCUCCCGCGAGCCCCACAGAGCUGGGGUGGAGCCGUGCUUUCUCAGAAGUGGGUCAGCUCCAGGCAGCGAGCCAGCCUGGCACGGGCUGGCACAGCAGGAAUUGUUCGUGAACUGAGGUACCAAGAUCAGGAAGAAGAGUCAGUGGCAGCAAUAUUGGUAAGCAGGCAACACUCGAAGACCAAGAGCAACACGGUGCAGGCCUGUGAUCCCAGCUCCAAGGAAAGCGAGGAGGAGAGUUGCGAGUUCGAGGCCAGCCUGGGCAAUUUAGGAAGAUCCUGCCUCCAAAAACAAAAAGAAAAAAAGGAAGGAGAAAGAAAAAGUGCCAGUGGUUGGUUUGCAAACUCCUGUGAUCAGGGAAGUGGUGCCUGGAGACUGGGGCAUGGGACAGAGGAUCCCCUGGGGCGGGGGACUUGCGGGCCCUCAGAACCUGCCCUGGGGGCCGGGGCUGGGGUCAUGACACCACGUGGACUUAGGCAUGCC
rnacentral:lncRNA from 1 species